rnacentral:rRNA from 1 species
GACGAACGCUGACGGCGUGCUUAACACAUGCAAGUCGAAGGGAGUGGCGAACGGGUGAGUAACACGUGAGUAACCUGCCAUUUUCUUUGGGAUAAGCCUGGGAAACUGGGUAUAAUACUGGCUGGUUUGGGAUGGGCGCGCGGCUUAUAGGCUUGUGGGUGGGGUGAUGGUGUACCAGGGCUUUGACGGGUAGUCGGCCUGAGAGGGUGGUCGGUCACACUGGGACUGAGAUACGGCCCAGAAUCCUACUGGAGGCAGCAGGGGGGGUGAUUGAACAAGGGACGAAAGUCUGAUGAAGAGACGUCGUGUGGGGGAUGAAGGCUUUCGGGUUGUAAACUCCUUUCGCCCGCGGAAUGUUAGUGGGUAAAGAAGCGCCGGCUAACGACGUGCCAGCAGCCGCGGUAAUAC